CCCUUAAUAAUUUGUAUAACAACAGCCAGUCUAGCCUGUCAUAAUUCAGUAACUACAAGCUAUUUAUCUAUUCUGGAAAGAUAUGACUGUUUCAACGCCACUUGUAGUACUCCUGGCUAUUACAAGGCUGCCAGUUUUUAUUGGCGGAAGCCAUAUAAAUGGCACCUGAAAAAACACAGACCUUCAGUGUCUUUUAAUGUUGUCCAAAGUUUCUGUUGAAAUGUUUGUACUGGUUUGAGGUAUUGCUGAUUAAAAGUGUAGAUGUCUGAAUAAACAAAAAACAUCCUUUAUCAUGUUUUAGAUUAAAAAGUAAUUAUAUCCAAAUUUCCAAUUUAGUUUCAGCACAAACGUUAAAGAUAAUUGUUGCAGAAGCCCUUUUUAUUUAAAGGAAACAAUAUAAGAUUUUAAAUUUUGAAUCUUCCAAAAUAAAUCUUUUCAGUUUUGUAAAGUGGUACAUUGUGAAAUUUAUAAUUAAAAAAACAAAUCUUUUCUAAUAAUAAGGGACAUAACUCUCCAAUGGUAAAAAAAUACUAAACCCAUCAAAAUAAUGUAAAUGCUUAAAGCAGCUUUCAGAUUUGUUAGUUUGUAAAUACAAAAUUAGCCUCCUCCUGGCCAAAUGAAACUUAAUUAACUUUGUAAUAGAAUUUUCCAUGCCAAAAACACUUUUAUUGGAUAAAAAAUAUGAAGUAAAAACAGUGACCUUUAUAAUCUUAAGCUUUUUUGGUACGAGAAAAAAAAUUAUCAGAUACUUAUUAUUUGGCCACAACAUUUAAUAAUUUUUUAAACACCUAUUAUCACAGAAUAUAAUUUUUGCCAUCUUAAUUAUAUUGUUAAGUGUGUUGUUGGCAUGCUGUCUCAUUGAAAUAUACCUCAGAUCCUCUUUUAUCUUAUUCAAGAUUUUCAGAAAAGCAAUUUAAAAAUCUGUUAAAGGUUUAUUCUCUAAAUAAAUAGAAUAAUUGGUCCAGUGAUCAAUGGAGAAUGUAAAUGAGAUGUGGUAAAAAUGCCAAUGAGAUGUGCUUAGAAUGCCAAUGAGAUGUGCUUAGAAUGCCAAUGAGAUGUGUUAAUACAACUAAUGAGAUGCGCUAAGAAUGCAAAUGAAAUGUGGUAAAAAUGCCAAUGAGAUAAAGCUAAAGAUAUGUUGUAAUAAUGCUAAUGAGAUGUGGUAAUAAAGCUGAUGAGAUGCGCUAAGAAUGCAAAUGAGAUGUGGCUAUAAAGCUGAUGAGAUGUGCUAAGAAUGCAAAUGAGAUGUGGUAAUAGAGCUAAUGAGAUGCGCUAAGAAUGCAAAUGAGAUGUGGUUAUAAAGCUAAAGAUAUGUGGUAAUAACGCUAAUGAGAUGUGGUAAUAAAGCUAAUGAGAUUUGGUUAUGAAGCUGAUGAGAUGCGCUAAGAAUGCAAAUGAGAUGUGGUAAUAGAGCUAAUGAUAUGUGCUAAGAAAGCUAAUGAGAUGUGGUAAUAAAGCUAAUGAGAUGUGGUAGUAAAGCUAAUGAGAUGUGGUAAUAAUGCUAAUGAGAUGUGGUUAUAAAGCUAAAGAUAUGUUGUAACAAUGCUAAUGAGAUGUGGUAAUAAAGCUAAUGAGAUGUGGUUAUAAAGCUGAUGAGAUGCGCUAAGAAUGCAAAUGAGAUGUGGUUAUAAAGCUGAUGAGAUGCGCUAAGAAUGCAAAUGAGAUGUGGUAAUGGAGCUAAUGAGAUGCUCUAAGAAUGCAAAUUAGAUGUGGUAAUAGAGCUAAUGAUAUGUGCUAAGAAAGCUAAUGAGAUGUGGUAAUAAAGCUAAUGAGAUGUGGUAGUAAAGCUAAUGAGAUGUGGUAAUAAAGCUAAUGAGAUGUGGUAAUAAUGCUAAUGAGAUGCGCUAAGAAUACUAAUGAGAUGUGGUAAUAAUGCCAAUGAGAUGUGGUUAGAAUUCCAAUGAGAUGUGGUUAGAAUGCCAAUGAGAUUUAGUAAGAAUGCCAAUGAGAUUUAGUAAGAAUGCCAAUGAGAACUAUCCACCAAAGAUUGAGCCACAAGGCUGCAAAAACUAUCUUUCUUUCAUGUGAAUUUUGUGUAUACUUUGUAUACUUUGUAAGCUCCCUAACAGCUGAUAGUUAACAUUUUCAUCAAAUUAUGAUUUAAAUUAUCCUUUCUUUAAAUAAAAUUAUUUGGUAAUUAAACUUUUUUAAAUGAACAUUGAAAAAGCUUCUAAAUUUUCUGAAAAAAUUACAUUAAAUAGGCACUUUUGAAUUUUUUGCCUAUUUAAAAAAAAUAUACCAGUAAUGGCACAAGGAUAGAAGAUGUGUGGAAUCAAAUAGGUAACAACUAUAGUGAUAAUGAAAUAUUCUAAUAAUAACCAGUUUUUUAAUGUCUUGACUUAAUGGACUUAUUGUAUGAUGAUAUAUGCGACCAGUUAGAAUAGUGGACAAUGAAAUAUUCAAACAUGGAACAGACUGAAGUUAAUAGACUUAAAAUUCAAAAUUGAAACCAGCAAGUGAAUUAUUGACAUUUAUUUUGAUGUGACCAGUAUUCAUGUGGAUGGACAGUACUAGUGGACUAUAAACUGAUAAAUCUCACAGAAAGGCACAUCACAACUGAGUCUGAAGCUGUUACAUACAAAAGACAAGAUAUCCAGGAAAUAAGAAUUGUAUGUGAUCUAUUUAAAGAUCUUAGGACAGUAGGACCUGGAAGUACUUUAUUACCAACUUCAAGAUUAACUGAGCUUGAGAAAUUACAAAUCAACUGAUACAGAAGAAGAGACUUUGCCAUGUGGAUGAACUUGGAAACAAUUAUUGACAAACAAUAUAGUGUAUUAGUAUUCUUGUAAAAAUCAAGAGAGAGAGAGAGAGAGAGAGAGAGAGAGAGAGAGAGAGA